rnacentral:rRNA from 1 species
GUCCACGCCCUAAACGAUGUCGACUGGUUGUUGGGGGUUUGACACUCUCAGUAACGAAGCUAACGCGUGAAGUCGACCGCCUGGGGAGUACGGCCGCAAGGUUAAAACUCAAAGGAAUUGACGGGGACCCGCACAAGCGGUGGAUUAUGUGGAUCAAUUCGAUGCAACGCGAAAAACCUUACCUACCCUUGACAUGUCCGAGAGCCCGAAGAGAUUUGGGUGUGCCCGAAAGGGAAUCGGAACACAGGUGCUGCAUGGCUGUCGU